CCUACGGGAGGCAGCAGUGGGGGAUAUUGCACAAUGGGGGAAACCCUGAUGCAGCGACGCCGCGUGUGGGAAGACGGUCCUCUGGAUUGUAAACCACUGUCCCCAGGGACGAAGAUGACGGUACCUGGGGAGGAAGCUCCGGCUAACUACGUGCCAGCAGCCGCGGUAAUACGUAGGGAGCGAGCGUUGUCCGGAAUUACUGGGUGUAAAGGGAGCGUAGACGGUAGAGCAAGUCUGAAGUGAAAGCCCGCGGCUCAACUGCGGGACUGCUUUGGAAACUGUUCAACUGGAGUGCUGGAGAGGUA
rnacentral:rRNA from 1 species